CCCUUAGAUGUCCUGGGCCGCACGCGCGUUACACCGAUGCAUUCAACGAGCUUAUAACCUUGGCCGAGAGGCCUGGGCAAUCUUGUUAACGUGCAUCGUGAUAGGGAUAGAUUACUGAAAUUAUUAAUCUUGAACGAGGAAUUCCUAGUAAACGCAGAUCAUCAAUCUGCAUUGAUUACGUCCCUGCCCUUUGUACACACCGCCCGUCGCACCUACCGAUUGGAUGGUCCGGUGAAGCCUCGGGAUUGUGGUUCUUGCCGCUUUAUUGUGGCGUGACCGCGAGAACUUGUCUAAACCUUAUCAUCUAGAGGAAGGUGAAGUCGUAACA
rnacentral:rRNA from 1 species